UUUUGCAAACAUGUUAACUCUGCAAAAUAUAUUAAUGGCUCAUAUACUGCUUCAAUUUGAAAGGAGGUGAGGACAGCUCCUUCUACCAUAUUCUAAACUAAAAUACCAGGCUACAGAGUAUGUUGAAAUUACAAGACGAGAUUAACAGAAAACUUUGCACUUUGCAGGCCCUUUCAUAUAACUCAACAAAAAGAUUCAGGCUCAGCAGAAGUAAUCAAGUUAAUGUAUUAAAUCCGAUACAGAUACCAAAAAGUCUUAACUUUUAAGCUAGUGACGAGGCAAAUAUAGAACACUAUCCGUCCCGUCAUCAAAUAUUAUAGUCAGUGGGGAAAGGAUUGAAGCCACUUUGUGCCAUUUUUUCCAAAGGCCCCAACAAAGGUUUUGGGAGUUUGUCCCAAUCAUACCAAUCCCAACCAUAGCACUUCUCAGGCUCAAGAUUUUGGGGCACUUGAUUGGGGUCGGCCAAGAUUGCACGAAGAAAGAUGGUAACAUAAUGUGAUGGCCUUGGCUCCUCCAGGUAGAGGCUGUUGGUAACCGUUAGAAAUUCUAUUUUGGAAAUAUCCAAACCUGUUUCCUCCUUCAUCUCUCUUGCCCCGCAUUCCUCAAAGCUCUCCCCAAACUCUAAGUGACCGCCGGGAAGUGCAAAGGUAGAGUCACCGAUGGAGGAGCGACGCCGCCCCAACAGCACCGAUUUGCCCUUCAACAAGAAGACUACCACAGCUACCCUAGGCACAGGUGUCUCUGCGUUUUUCUCCAUUUUUCUACUGAUGAUCUCUUUGCAACCCUUUCAGCUUCUCUCUUUCUAAACAGUUGAAGAGAAAAGUGGAAUCGGCCUUUUUAAUCAGACUCGGAACGGCGUCCUUUCGCUCCGUUUCGUACCCACGGCCUAACGCUUAUUUUCAAAGUUAU
rnacentral:misc_RNA from 1 species